UCUGCCGCAUGGUGGGGUGUGGAAAGUUCCGGCGGUAUGGGAUGGGCCCGCGGCCUAUCAGCUUGUUGGUGGGGUAAUGGCCUACCAAGGCGACGACGGGUAGCCGGCCUGAGAGGGUGACCGGCCACACUGGGACUGAGACACGGCCCAGACUCCUACGGGAGGCAGCAGUGGGGAAUCUUGCGCAAUGGGCGAAAGCCUGACGCAGCAACGCCGCGUGGGGGAUGAGGCCUUCGGGUUGUAAACCUCUUUCGACAUCGACGAAGCCUUCGGGUGACGGUAGGUGUAGAAGAAGCACCGGCUAACUACGUG
rnacentral:rRNA from 1 species